rnacentral:rRNA from 1 species
CCUACGGGAGGCAGCAGUAGGGAAUCUUGCACAAUGGGCGAAAGCCUGAUGGAGCAACGCCGCGUGCAGGAUGAAGGCCUUCGGGUUGUAAACUGCUUUUAUAAGCGAGAAAUAUGAUGGUAACUUAUGAAUAAGGAUCGGCUAACUACGUGCCAGCAGCCGCGGUCAUACGUAGGAUCCGAGCAUUAUCCGGAGUGACUGGGUGUAAAGAGGUGCGUAGGUGGCAUAAUAAGUAGCUAGUGAAAUCUGGUGGCUCAACCAUUCAGACUAUUAGCUAAACUGUUAAGCUCGAGACCGUUAGGGGUAACUGGAAUUGCUAGUGUAGGAGUGAAAUCCGUAGAGAUUAGAAGGAACACCAAUAGCGUAGGCAGGUUACUGGGACGGUUCUGACACUAAGGCACGAAAGCGUAGGGAGCAAACAGGAUUAGAUACCCCAGUAGUC